UACGGAGGGUGCAAGCGUUGUCCGGAAUCACUGGGCGUAAAGGGCGCGUAGGCGGCUCGGUAAGUAGGGGGGUGAAAUCCUGCGGCUUAACCGCAGGGCUGCCUUCUAAACUGUCGAGCUUGAGCACGGUAGAGGCAGAUGGAAUUCCCGGUGUAGCGGUGGAAUGCGUAGAGAUCGGGAAGAACAUCAGUGGCGAAGGCGGUCUGCUGGGCCGGUUGCUGACGCUGAGGCGCGACAGCGUGGGGGAGCAAACAGG
rnacentral:rRNA from 1 species